rnacentral:tRNA from 1 species
GCCGGGGUGGUGGAACUGGCAGACACAAGGGACUUAAAAUCCCUUGGGGGUUUCCCCCGUGCGGGUUCGAGUCCCGCCCUCGGCAC